rfam:Danio rerio chromosome 9, GRCz11 reference primary assembly.
UCAAAGGUUCUUUAAAGAACCAUCUACACCAACAAAGAACCUUUAU